AUGCAGCCAAUUAAACUGACCAUCCUCUCCUUCCUGAGGGAUCAGUUUGCAGUAGCUGCAUAAAGCAACUUUCCUGACUGCAUAUAAUGUCUGUUGUUUGUAUGGGUUGUCCUUAGGGACCUUGAAAACAGUC
ensembl:snoRNA SNORA70 Small nucleolar RNA SNORA70